UGGGGAAUCUUGCGCAAUGGGCGAAAGCCUGACGCAGCAACGCCGCGUGGGGGAAGAAGGUCUUCGGAUUGUAAACCCCUUUCAGUUGGGACGAAGCUUCCAGGGUUAAUAGCUCUGUGGAGUGACGGUACCUUCAGAAGAAGCCCCGGCUAACUACGUGC
rnacentral:rRNA from 1 species